rnacentral:rRNA from 1 species
UACGGAGGGGGCCAGCGUUGCUCGGAAUCACUGGGCGUAAAGGGCUAGUAGGCGGUCUGAUAAGUCCUGUGUGAAAUCCCUUGGCUUAACCAAGGAAUUGCGCCGGAUACUGUCGGACUAGAGGCCGGGAGAGGGAAGCGGAAUUCCGAGUGUAGCGGUGAAAUGCGUAGAUAUCAGGAGGAAUACCGGUGGCGAAGGCGGCAUCCUGGACCGGUAUUGACGCUGAGGCGCGAAAGCUAGGGGAGCAAACGGG